ACAUACAGCAAAACAACCAGCCAAGCUGACAAAAAAAAUAAGAGUUAUUAUGUCCUAAGUGCCUCCAAGGUAGCACAAACAUAGUACCCCGUUAAACACUCCCCCACCCUGCCCCUCCACCCAGCCCCUGGCAACCACCAUUCUGCUUUCUGUUCUAUGAUUUUGACCCCUCCAGAUACUUCAUGAAUGGGAACCAUAUAGUCUCUGUCCUUUUGUGCCUGGCUUAUUUCACUUAGUAACAUGUCUUCAAGGCUCAUCGAUGUGGCAUGUGUCAGAAUUUCCUUCCUUUUUAAGGCUGAAUCUAUUUAUUGUAUGGACAGAUCACAUGUUGUUUCUCCACUCAUCUGUGGAUGGACAUUGGGUCGCUUCCACCUUUUUGCUGUUGUGAAUAGCCCUUCAGUAACU
rnacentral:lncRNA from 10 species